GUCACAUAUGGCUUACAUCAUUUUUAGGUAAGCAUGCCGAAAAUCUCCUGUGUGUUGAACUGCAAUGCAGGUGUGGGAGAACACUGUCUCGAAUUCAUCCCAGUUUGAUUCAUCAUGUGGAAGUAUUCAAUCCAGGAACCCACUGCAGCAAUGUCGAAGUGAUAGCCACGCUGAGAAGUGGAAACAAAAUCUGCCUGAACCCAGACUCUCCAGUGAUCAGGAAAAUAAUCUUUGAAAUGGUGGACAGUGAAGAAUAUGAUGAGUAAUCUGUUCAAUCUCUGCCAAACCUUUUUACCUACCAGGAAGAGCAGGAUUUUGAAGUCUUGACUUUGUAGGGUUCUUAUUUAUCCAGGAUACCCAUUGCUACCGUGUUAAAAUUUGGAUAUGUUUUCCAUUCUGUAUCAAAAAUCACAUUUUACUCUGAGAAGGCCGGUUAAAAGAUACUAGAAAGAUGAAAUAAUCAAACCUAGUUUCAACAACGAAUAUAUGGUUUACUGCCUAAUUCUUGGAUUAACAUCGUACCCUCCUUUGCAUUUCUUUAUUUGAAAAUUCCUUUCCCAAUAUGUUUGUGGUAAUUUUUCUUGCACUUCUUUACUUUUAGACUAGACAUGCCCAGGAUAAUUA